rnacentral:rRNA from 1 species
UGAACGCUGGCGGCGUGCCUAAUACAUGCAAGUCGAGCGAACAGACGAGGAGCUUGCUCCUCUGACGUUAGCGGCGGACGGGUGAGUAACACGUGGAUAACCUACCUAUAAGACUGGGAUAACUUCGGGAAACCGGAGCUAAUACCGGAUAAUAUAUCGAACCGCAUGGUUCAAUAGUGAAAGACGGUUUUGCUGUCACUUAUAGAUGGAUCCGCGCCGCAUUAGCUAGUUGGUAAGGUAACGGCUUACCAAGGCAACGAUGCGUAGCCGACCUGAGAGGGUGAUCGGCCACACUGGAACUGAGACACGGUCCAGACUCCUACGGGAGGCAGCAGUAGGGAAUCUUCCGCAAUGGGCGAAAGCCUGACGGAGCAACGCCGCGUGAGUGAUGAAGGUCUUCGGAUCGUAAAACUCUGUUAUUAGGGAAGAACAAAUGUGUAAGUAACUAUGCACGUCUUGACGGUACCUAAUCAGAAAGCCACGGCUAACUACGUG